GGUUAAGCGACUAAGCGUACACGGUGGAUGCCCUGGCAGUCAGAGGCGAUGAAGGACGUGCUAAUCUGCGAAAAGCGUCGGUAAGGUGAUAUGAACCGUUAUAGCCGGCGAUGUCCGAAUGGGGAAACCCAGUGUGAUUCGUCACACUAUCGUUAACUGAAUACAUAGGUUAACGAGGCGAACCGGGGGAACUGAAACAUCUAAGUACCCCGAGGAAAAGAAAUCAACC
rnacentral:rRNA from 2 species